UUUUCUUUACCUUUGUUGGGGRAAAAUGGAAUCGAUCGUAUCUUGGUGUUUAUUUAGAAACAAAACUGUCAGUGGCUCAUGUAGUAGUUUAUCUUCCUAUCAAACCUAACGUGUGUUCAGCAAAGCUACCCAGGAUGUUCUCUCACGAGUUACUUAGGAACUUAAGUACACUGAUGUAUGAAACAGGACGGUCAUACACCGUUCUCAUAAUGGCUGACGAGCGCACGAAAAGGAGGCGACUCAGUAAUCUUUCAAGGCAGAGCAUGGCUGCUCAUUCAAAAUGAAGGUGGAUAGCAGGAAUUCAAAAAACAAAAGAGCUAUUUCGGGGUAACGAAGGAACCUGGAAGACCUUAAGACGGAACGUUGGGUGAUGAUGGAAUAAAAGUUGUUUUAAGACGCCUUUUGAACAAGGGAAGGGGUUUGCAAUUUGACUACUAUUUAAUAUUAAACAGCGAUAAUAUGGAGAGAUAUCGAUGCAGCCCGUGUAGUUCGCAGACGGGCGGGUCAAUGCGGAAUUAGUCUUGUAAUGGGAAAGAAGGAACAAAAAAGCUAAAAAUAAUUAAUAAAGGAAAAAGGACCAACUCUGAGAAGUGAAAUUUGUCAGACAGUAAUUACGCAUAAAAGUAGAAGUAGUUCUAUAAAUAGAGUAUAGUUCUAUGUUCGUAAUGACUAUAUAUCGUAUAGGAAAUCGUAUUAUCAAGCAAGGUCAAUCAUGAAAAACAUUAGCGGUUUACGACUUCGAUCAAUAUGAAUCGAGCAGUUUUGUUGAGUGUACUGAUAAGUUAAGUAGUUGUAAUGACAAGAAUCUAGAUAUGAUCACUUCACUGACAUAGGCGGAGACUUGUUCGGUGUCGCAUUCCGUAGACAAUUGUAAUUGAGGCAGAUGUAUUAACUUAUUUCAAUAAAGUUGGUAAAGCUUUUUGAUAAAAACUG